rnacentral:rRNA from 1 species
AAUGAACGUUGGCGGCGUGGAUUAGGCAUGCAAGUCGUGCGGAAAGGCCCCGCAAGGGGUACUCGAGCGGCGAAAGGGAUAGUAAUGCGUAGAUCACCUACCCCUGGGACCCGGAUAGCUGCGGGAAACUGCAAUUAAUACGGGAUGACGUCUGCGGACCAAAGGUGUGAUUCCGCCCGGGGACGGGUCUGCGUCCUAUUAGCUAGUUGGUGAGGUAACGGCCCACCAAGGCAACGAUGGGUAGCGGGUGUGAGAGCACGACCCGCAUCACUGGGACUGAGACACUGCCCAGACACCUACGGGAGGCAG